UUGAUUUCUGGAGCUAACCGUGUAAAUUGGACGCCGGGGCCGAAGCCCAGGGCUAGUCAAUGCUAGGAUCAGACCAAGCCAGGUUUUCUCUACAACCCAUGCCACUGCCGUCAGAGGGUCCCAGUCCUGGCAGAGGAAGGUGCAGACUGCUGGAAGAAAGGGAAAGUGUCCAAUUUACAUGGUUAGCUCCAGAAAUCAAACUCAUCACUGCCAGAAGUGGCAGGAUGGAGCACCGCUCUGAUUCCUGACAUAUUUCCACAAGUAUUAUAAAUAAGUUAUGCUGAAAAAAACUACUAAACAUAACAGAAGAUAUGUACAGCGUACUGCAAGAUUAUUGAAUGUCGAGAAUAGAUUAUUGCAAUUAGCGUAACCAGGCAACUCCUCCAAGUAUCGUUGAACAAGGAGACUUCAAAACGCAGUAGGAGAAAGAUUGGUAAAGCGGUGGUAAAGAAAGGAAAAGUUUUAAGGACGGAAGUCUGGAGCACGGGGAACAGGUCCUGGAGGGAACAUCCAACAUAGAAGCGAUUGUAAACAGAGAUGUGCAAGAUGCUGGAAAAGGAGAGCUAGCCUAAUCCUUAUGAUAUUAUGAUCACUAUCUUCUAAAUCUCUGGAGGCGGUGGAGGCAUGUACUCUCACAACAUUAAGAAGCACCUUGACCACUGCUAUACAACCAUCAAAGAUGCCUUCCGAGCCACCCCUCGUCCUCAUUUUGGGAAAUCAGACCACCAGGCUGUGCUCCUUUCCCCUGCAUACAAACAGAAACUGAAAUGGGAGGAUCCGGUAUGGAGAGUCAUGCAGUGCUGGUCUGAGGAAGCAGAUGAGCUCCUACGUGACUGUUUUGAGACAAGUGGACUGGUCCAUGUUCAAAGACUCAGCUGCCAGCCUUGAUGAGUAUGUCACCACCAUCACAGACUUUAUCAGCAAGUGCGUGGAGGACUGUGUACCAGAGAAGACAAUACAGAUGUUUCCAAACAGGAAACCAUGGAUGAACCGGGAGAUCCACUCCCUACUGAAGGAGAGGACUGCUGCACACAAAUCUGGUGAUCCUGAUCUGUACAAGAAAUCGAGGUAUGACCUUUGGAAAGCUAUCAGGGAUGCCAAGAGGCAAUACCAACCCUGACCAGCUGCCAGUUAUGGCAGGGCUUACAUGACAUAACAGGCUACAAGAUGAAGUCGGGCUGCAUAGUUAACAACAGUGCAUUCCUUCCUGAUGAACUUAACGCAUUCUAUGCGCGUUUUGAACAGAAGGGAAGUGGAUUGUCACCAUCCACCCUGACAGCCUCCAAUGCAGCUGAACCUGUGAUCACAGUGGAGGACGUAAGAUCAGUCUUCCGGAGAGUGAACACAAGGAAAGCACCUGGUCCAGAUGGUGUCCCUGGCCGUGUGCUCAGAUCUUGUGCUGAUCAGCUGGCAGAAGUAUUUGCGGACAUAUUUAACCUCUCCCUGCUUCAAGCUCAGGUUCCCACCUAUUUUAAGAAGACCACUAUCAUCCCGGUACUGAAGAAAAGCAAGGUAACAUGUCUCAAUGACUACCGACCAGUGGCUCUGACAUCCACCAUCAUGAAGUGCUUUGAGAGGUUGGUCAUGGCACGCAUCAACUCCAGCCUACCAGACAACCUGGACCCACUUCAAUUCGCCUACUGCUGUAACAGGUCUAUAGCAGAUGCCAUCUCCCUGGCCCUACACUCAGCUCUGGAGCAGAGCAUCUGGACAGUAAAGACACCUAUGUUAGACUUUUGUUCAUUGACUACAGCUCUGCCUUCAAUACAAUAAUCCCAAGCAAGCUUGUCACCAAACUCCGAGACCUAGGACUCAACACCUCCCUCUGUAACUGGAUCCUUGACUUUCUAACAAACAGACUGCAAUCAGUGAGGAUAGGCAGCAAUACCUCCGGCACGAUUAUUCUCAACACUGGUGCCCCACAAGGCUGCGUCCUCAGCCCUCUACUCUACUCCUUAUACACUCAUGACUGUGUGGCCAGAUUCUGCUCUAACUCCAUCUACAAGUUUGCAGAUGAUACCACCGUUGUAGGCCGUAUCUCAAACAGCGAUGAGUUGGAGUAAAGGAAAGAGAUAGAGAGCUUAGUGGAAUGGUGUCAUGACAACAACCUUUCCCUCAAUGUCAACAAAACAGCUGGUCAUUGACUUCAGGAAAGGGGGCGGUGUACAUGCACCUGUCUACAUCAACAGUGCUGAGGUCGAGAGGGUUGAGAGCUUCAAGUUCCUGGGAGUGAACAUCACCAACAGCCUGUCCUGGUCAAAUCACGUAGAUGCCAUGGCCAAGAAAGCUCACCAGCAUCUCUACUUCCUCAGGAGGCUAAAGAAAUUUGGUUUGUCCCCUUUGACUCUCACCAACUUUUACCAAUGCACCAUAGAAAGCAUCCUAUCUGGAUGUAUCAUGACUUGGUAUGGCAACUGCUCUGCCCAGGACCGCAAGAAACUGCAGAGAGGUGUGGACACAGCCCAGCGCAUCAUGGACACCAGCCUCCCCUCCUUGGACUCUGUCUUUACCUCUCACUGUCUUGGUGAAGCAGCCAGCAUAAUUAAAGACCACACCCAACCAUAACAUUCUCUCUUCUCUCCUCUUCCAUCGGGUAGAAGAUACAGGAGCCUGAGGGCACGUACCAUCAGACUUAAGGUCAGCUUCUACCCCACUGUGAUAAGACUAUUGAAUGGUUCCCUUAUACAAUGAGAUAGACUAUGACUUCACGAUCUACCUUGUUGUGACCUUGCACCUUAUUGCACUGCACUUUCUCUGUAGCUGUGACACUUUACUCUGUACUGUUAUUGUUUUUACCUGUACUAUAUCAAUGCACUCUGUACUAACUCAAUGUAACUGGACUGUGUAAUGAAUUGACCUGUACGAUCAG